rnacentral:rRNA from 1 species
GGGUCAGUAGGUUGGUCGUGCCACCGGUACGUACUGGUCUCACUGAUUCCUCCUUCCUGAAGAACCGUAAUGCCACUAAUUUGGUGUUGCGGGGAAACAGGACUGUUACUUUGAAAAAAUUAGAGUGUUUAAAGCAAGCUAACGCUUGAAUACAUUAGCAUGGAAUAAUGAAAUAGGACGAUCGAUCCUAUUUUGUUGGUUUCUAGGAUUGACGUG